rnacentral:rRNA from 1 species
GGGGUGCAACACGAGGACUUCCUAGGAGGUCACCCAUCCUAGUACUACUCUCGCCCAAGCACGCUUAACUGCGGAGUUCUGAUGGGAUCCGGUGCAUUAGUGCUGGUAUGAUCGCACCU